UACGUAGGGGGCAAGCGUUGUCCGGAUUUAUUGGGCGUAAAGAGCGUGUAGGCGGCCAUGUAGGUCCGUUGUGAAAACUCGAGGCUCAACCUCGAGACGCCGAUGGAAACCAUGUGGCUAGAGUCCGGAAGAGGAGAGUGGAAUUCCUGGUGUAGCGGUGGAAAUGCGCAGAUAUCAAGGAAGAACACCCGUGGCUAAGGCGGCUCUCUAGUACGGUACUGACGCUGAGACGCGAAAGCGUGGGGAGCGAACAGG
rnacentral:rRNA from 1 species